ACAGACAGACUUGGAGAGAAGCUCAUGCUCUCUCGCAUGAACUCUGGAGGAAUUUCGAGGAAUUUGCUGGAUGUAUAGGUGGGAAACCGUUCAGAUCGAUACGCCCAGCCCUACUCGACACGCACAGCAAAAUCUUGCUGGAUUAUUUAGUCGACACACGCUUCAGAGCCUCGACACGUAAUGACGCAUCAGUAGUGAUGACUCCUCUGUACACGUGUAACCGACAGUGAAUGUGGAUCUCCCCUGCACAUCGACGGGCCAAGCAAGGAAAACAGCACAGAGAAAAACAUUGAAGUAAAUCAGAUCUACAGAGGCCGCUGCUCGGUUGAUUGACCGUUGGGCUUUGUGUGCCAGCAUCAGAGGGGACAGCCAACACCUCCACCGACAGCAUGAGUGACUUAACAGACUUUGUCAGGGGCCAAAUUGUUGGUGCCCAGCUGGCAGGUCUGUCUGUGAGUGAAACUGCACAGCUCUGUGACGUGUCAGGAAGAACUGUCCUCAAAGUCAUGAGUGUCUACAAUAUGCACGGACAUACUGCAUCAGCAAAGAAGAACAGCAAGCGCAAGCCUAAAAGGAAAGCUGGAGUUGAUAGAGGAGCUCCCAUCAGGAAACCAACGUCUGACUCGAAGAUGGACUCACAGAACCCUGAGGACGAGACUGAGACACCUGAAUCCCAGAACAAAGACAAGGAAUAAUGUGACUGGGUUUCAGACUUUCAGGUAUAUUUAGACUGGUUGACGUUUGCAUUAAGCCACAGCAUGCCUUGAUUUAAAACACAAUUUUUGCUUACUUUAUACAUAAGUUAUUUGUUUAUUUCUAUUGUAAGGCUUGAAUAUUAGCCUGUUCUGUCAGCCUCAGUACCUUUCCAGGCUUUGUCCAAGUGUCUGUGAUUGUGUUUUAAUACUGUGCAAUAAUUUCAAUAAUAGAUAAAAACGUGUUCUCCUAUC